UACGAAGGGGGCUAGCGUUGCUCGGAAUGACUGGGCGUAAAGGGCGCGUAGGCGGAGUGCUUUGUCAGGCGUGAAAUUCCAGGGCUUAACCUUGGGGCUGCGUUUGAGACGGGCAUUCUUGAGUAUGGAAGAGGGUCGUGGAAUUCCCAGUGUAGAGGUGAAAUUCGUAGAUAUUGGGAAGAACACCGGUGGCAAAGGCGGCGACCUGGUCCUUGACUGACGCUGAGGCGCGAAAGCGUGGGGAGCAAACAGG
rnacentral:rRNA from 1 species